GGUUUUAUUUUGCAGAUGAAGUCAAGGCCGGAAAUGAAGUAAAUGCAAGUAAGUACUAACAUUUAAUUAUUCGAGUCUAGUUCUUCUUUUUUAGGAGUAUAACCGAGACUAACUAGAAAGUCCUUCAAAAAGCACUUUUUUUUAUUUAAACGGCCUGUGGUGUUGGACAUAAAGGCUCACAUAUGUGAAAGCUUAAUAAUAAAUCAGUACGUUGUUUUUUAAACUUCAAAAGCACUUUUGAUUUUACCUUUACAGAUCAAAAGUUCGUAUAUUACUGAAAAUCUCUGUAAAAAUAUAGUUGUGCUUGAUAUUUCUCGACAUUCUGCGAAUAUGUUUUCUAGCGUAAAAAUGCUCUUAUUGCCGUUUUCAAGCAUUGUUUUAACAUGAUAGGGAGAUAACGCGUGCUGGUACUACCCCAUAUUUGUGUGCGCAUUCCGUGGUAAAAUGUUAACAAAUGCACAACUGGAAUAAGUCUGACAGAAAAUAAACGUUUUUUUUUCGAAUUCAUAUUAAUAUUGAGCUUUUACACAGUUCAUGCUAGAAAGUAGCAUUCACACAUGUCUAUUUCUUGAAUCAGCAUCUACAAAAUUUGCAUAAAGCACAAGCAUAAUCCUUACACUCCUAAAAUUAAACGUAAACGGAUAUUUUGGUCUUUAGAACAGAUUUGGGAGGGCGUAAACAAAAGCAAUUGUAGACUUCAAAUUUCAAUUUACAUUUUUUAAAUUAUGAAAGAAUUUAGAACUGGCAAAUAUGGGCCUCUUCUCACAGCUUUAUUGAAUUUUAAAGGAAAAAAUUAAAAAGGAAACAGUUAACGAUAUAUUUGAAUUAAAAUUCUCCGAUUUGCAGGACAGCUGUGCAUUUUCUGCCAAAUAGAAUUUGGUUUACAGGAAUAUCUGCACUGCGGUGAUGAUAUACUGGGAUGAACACUAUACCGAGCUGAAAAUUGUGAUAUCCUGUUCAUUUUUCAAAAUAAAAUAUAAUGUGAAAAUUUGUUAACAAUUAUAUCUUAAAAGUUUUGUAGUUCACAGUCCGGUUUUAUACAAGGUCAUCAUUUAGUUAAAGUAGUUACAGACAUCAUGAAACAUCGUUCUUAACUUAUAGGGGUAUAGGUUUAUUAAGAAAAUGUUAUCAACUUACUAGUGUAAUUUCAGGUCCUUGUGUGGUAUGUCUGUGGUGCGUCGUUCACAAUGAUCCUGAAAAUGUUGUUGGAUGAUUCAGUAUAGAUAUGUAAUACUACUUAAAAGAAGAAAUAAACAAUGAAUUACGCAUUA
rnacentral:lncRNA from 1 species